GCAAACUUGGUCAUUUAGAGGAAGUAAAAGUCGUAACAAGGUCUCCGUUGGUGAACCAGCGGAGGGAUCAUUACUGAGUGUUACAACUCCCAAACCCUCUGUGAACAGUACCAUUUGUUGCUUCGGCGGGACCGCCCCGGCGCCUCUGCGCGCCGGACCUAGGCGCCCGCCGGGGGCCCGAAACUCUUGUUUUGCCAGUGGUAUUUUCUCUGAGUGGCAUAAGCAAAAUGAAUCAAAACUUUCAACAACGGAUCUCUUGGUUCUGGCAUCGAUGAAGAACGCAGC
rnacentral:misc_RNA from 1 species